ACCUAAACCCGAUGGAAGCGGCACGCAGUAUAGCGUACAGCGGGGCUACAU
rnacentral:sRNA from 1 species